UUUGUUAGGUACCAGGUUGGGUUUUCUUCUUUUUCAGCUCUGACCAUCUGAGGGCGCCAGAGGCUGUUUCCUUGUCCUUGGUGGGUGUGUCAGCAGGCUCCGCGGUACGCACCUGGCUCAAAUCGUCAUCUAGAGGAGUAUUUAAGCGGCAGGCUCCCGCUCUUCACCGCCAGAGUGUUUUACCUAUUGUGGACAUCUUCAAGUUUUCCCCGGAGAACUCCUGUUGUCGAGCCUAGAGGGUAGUCCCCUCACGACGCUGGGAGCGAGACUCACCGGGAACUGGAGUCCUCCCACAUCCCUCUGUUUAAGAGCCCGCUGUGCGCCUCCGGCUGGAGUCCGCCCCGAAGACUCCUGGGCUCUCUCUCUCCCUCUCACGAGUCGUUCCCUUCCUCGUCCCUCUCCGAGUCAGCCUCUACGCCUACCCGCCACCUGGUACCGGAACCUUCCCCCAACCAGAAUUCUUUAUCACAAGUAAGCUGCGAACCCAUACAAGUUGCCAGAUUUCCUACGGUCAUUAAACUCACCUCCACUCUCCCCUGUGUGCAGCCGUGCCAGUCCUUCCACUGCAGCUUCCCGACUGUGGAUGUUUUGAACUUUAUUGUCAAUAAACAUCUAAAGUUUCAUUCUGCCUCUCUGUGAGUUUCUGCAUGUGGGCUCAAAAACUAAAACCCAGCAUGACA